UUCUGACCGAAGAAGAAGUCAGACAGACUUAGAUGUCAGCGAAUUUCAUCACAAUGAAGGCGAUUUAAACUAAUAGAACUGCACAAGCACCAUAGAGGUCAAGGAAAAGUGCAUACGAGAAUUGCUAAGGACUCAGGAAAAGAGAAGAGUUGUGCGUUGAGGUUUGGAACUAUCUUACUCUAGUCUAUCCCUAUAAAUGUGCUGCCUUAUGUUUUGAAAAUGCAAUGUGCAGAAGAUGAACUGCAAGACCAAAGGUCUCUAAACCGGAGGUCUUGUAAGGUCAUGCAACGAGAACAGCCUGUGAAAAAUAUCCUUCAUUAUGAACGGUGGAAUUUUAGGGGCCAGAUUUAUUAAAUACUAACUCUGCCUCUUGAUUGACUGAAGAGGCUCAUUGUCACUUUAUGACUGACAGUUAUGAACAGGAGUAUUUUUACAGCUGAACUUGUGUCGUAUAUGUUUUUAAGAGUUUCAUUUCACAAGAAGAAUAAUUCAAUAUCUUGUUUUAUUGCCAAACGUUUGGCUCUGUCCUAAUAAUCUUAACUCAGUCCUCACACCAAACAUUUAGAUCAUCUUAUUGUUCCUCAGUAAUGCUGGGAGUUUCAUAAAACAGAGCAGAAUGAACUGAAUGAGCUAGGCUCUCAGCAGUGAGCUAGGCUGUUGUUCAAUUUAUACAUUUCUUCCUUCAGGUCAGGUUGCAGCAACUCCACUGUCUGCACGACCCGUCAUAGAUGAAUCCUCUCACCGUCCUUCUCAUUUUGUCUCUUAAUUCGGCAUCUACAGGCUUAAAAGAGAUAGAUGUGCAGGCAGACAGGAACGCCCAGCUGGAGUGUCAGGGUCCUAAAAAAGCCAAACUUGUCCUGUUAGAGUGGAAAAGACUUGAUCUGUUGUCGGAUGGAUACGUCUUCUUCUACCGAGAUGGUCAUCUUCAUAAAACCUUCCAGCAUCCAACUUUUAGAGAUCGAGUGGAACUGAGAGAUCCGCAGAUGAAAAAUGGGAACAUGUCCAUCAUUUUGUCCAACACCACAAUUAAAGACACUGGAACGUAUGAGUGUCGUAUCAUCGCACAAAACACAAGAGACAGUAGCAGCUCUGCCUUUGAGAUCAAGCAUGAAAUCAAGCUGACAGUUGUUCCUCCAGGUCGGGCACAAGAGGUCACCGUACUUAGAGAUGAGGAGAAUGGAGGUAUGGACGUUGGGAACAAGGAUGAAAGAGAUGGAGGAUUUAUUGGACUAACAGGUGGUCUGUUAGCUUUGGUGGUGAUUCUUGUUGUUUUGUUUUCUUACAAUGUGUUCUUUUCCUCCUGUUGGAAAAGAAAGUUCAUAAAGCACAACAGAUGUGUUUUUGGGAAGAUAUGACAAAACGGUCGCAAAAGUGACAAACUAACAGCAAUUGGUUAAUUGCCAACAUGCAUUUAAAAUAUUAUAUGAAUCAUGUCAUUAAAACACACAUUGCGUGCAUCUUCUGUUUUCUUCUAAGCAUGUGCAGUCGUUUGCAUUUUUUGUUCCAUCACAGUAUUGUUACCCCAACACAAGCCCGUGGGGAGUAGGGUUGCUGAGGUUUGCUGCUCCAACCCUUGUCGCAAAAACAAAUGUCUUCAGAAAUGUUUUAUUUAGGAAGUAGAAUUAAUUAAUGAAACAAGUAAAAAAGGUUUUUCUCCCCCUGUAAAGCAUUAUAGUCAAAUAACAUGCAUACUAGAUACCAGUACAAGUGGUGUAAUUUACAAAAAGAGCUAACAGACAACAGCUGUCACCAGCUAAAUGCUCUCCCUAACAUUUUGAACACUUUGGACAUCACUGCUCCUCCUGAGGAAAUUUAUCACCAAAACUUAAAGUCACAUUUAGAGUAUUAAUAUCACACACUCAGACAAAGGUUACAUUUUAGCUUAUUAUGAGAUGUCAUCACAAAGUUUAACAUUAUACUUAAGCAAUAAUUUCACCUUCCCACUUUUGUUUCCAAAGGGUUCUUGACUAUGUGUGUAAAUUUGACUUUUGGCUGAGUGAAAUAUCCAUAUAUGACUUGGUUCUGUUACAUUUUGGCUCUUUAUGUGAGCACCGGGAUCUGUAACUGGGGCUACACUGACUAGAGUAGUACACCAAUCCAGUGUUGAGUAGCACAGAGCUGUUGCCUUAAAUAGUGGCAGGAAAAUGCAGGAACACGGGUUACUUGCAGGUGCGUAGGUCAAAUGCGGGGACCUCUAAUAAGUUCUACCCAGUUGGAGAGGAGUGGAAGAGAGAGAGAGAGAGAGAGAGCAACAUAACAAAAACCCAGCUGACAUCAAGACAUCUGCCCGUUCAUCACUGGGAUGAGAAAGUGUUGCAGCUCUCAGUCUGACAAAACCUGCAAAUAUACACAUUGUUCAAAUGACUUGAUAUCUUCCACAAAAGAUAUGUUUGACAUGGACCAACAACAGUUAAAAUACUGGAAAUCACUUUUUGGCAAUUUGAUAAAUAAAUGAAUUUUUGGGAAAACUGUGAACUAUGAGAUUUAUUUUAACACAGUUACCUGCUUUUUUAAAAUAAUUUUAUUACUGG
ensembl:lncRNA